rnacentral:lncRNA from 1 species
GGACGAGCAGCCGGGGUGAGCGUCGCCGCGCCGUCUCCCGCAUCCGCUCCCCGCCGGCAGGUGAGCCAGGUGGGUGGACGUCCCCGUCCCCGUCCCCGUCCCCGUCCCCGCCCCCCGCCCCCCGGACCCCCCGACCCCCCGACCCCGCCGCUCGCCACCGCGCAGGACCCGCCGCUGCCUCUGCUCGGCCGCCGCCUGCCCUCCGCCCACAGCAUCCUCGCGGGGCGCGGCGCGGCGCCCUCCCCACGCGGGCGGACCUGGGCCGCCGCCCUCGCCCCGGCCGCGCUCGCGGACUCGCCCUGGGUCGGCGGCCCCCUGCGGCCGCGCGGUGCCGGGUCGUCUCGGCCUCCCGCGCGUCCAGGCCUCCGGGUGUCCGGGUGUCCAGGCGUCCAGGUGUCUAGCUGUCCAGCUGUCCAGGCGUCCCGGUGUCCAGGCGUCCAGGUGUCCGGGUGUCUCGGUGUCCGGGUGUCCAGCUGUCCCGGUGUCCAGGCGUCCAGGCGUCUGGGUGUCCAGCUGUCAGCUGUCCCGGUGUCCAGGUAUCCGGGUGUCCAGGUGUCCGGGUGUCCCGGUGUCCGGGUGUCCGGGUGUCCAGGCGUCCAGGUGUCCGGGCGUCCAGGUGUCCGGGUGUCCGGGUGUCCAGGUGUCCGGGUGUCCAGGCGUCCGGGUGUCCGGGUGUCCAGGCCUCCGGGUGUCCGGGUGUCCAGGUGUCCGGGUGUCCAGGCGUCCAGGUGUCCGGGCGUCCAGGUGUCCGGGUGUCCGGGUGUCCAGGUGUCCGGGUGUCCAGGCGUCCGGGUGUCCGGGUGUCCAGGCCUCCGGGUGUCCGGGUGUCCAGGUGUCCGGGUGUCCAGGUGUCCAGGCGUCCAGGUGUCCGGGUGUCCAGGUGUCCGGGGCUCCGGCGGGCGCGGCGCGCGAGGGUGCGGGGCGCGGGACGGGCAGCAGGUGCAGGGGGCGCCGUGGGCACCCCGGGGCGGGCCUCUGCGGCCAGUCCAGGGGAGACGGAGAGAGGGCGAGGGCGAGGGCGAGGGCGAGGGCGAGGGCGAGGGGGCGAGGGCUGCCCACGGACGCGGGGCUCGGCUCGGCGGGGGAGGGGCGCGGAGGGGGGCGCGCGCAAGCCGGGGGCCGGGGGCCGGGGGCCGGGGGCCGGGGGCCGGGGCGGCGGGGCCGGGCGCAGGGGAGGCGGGCGGGGCCCGGGGCGGCGCGGAGGGGCGGGGUUCGCGGGCGGCGGGAGGCGGGAGGCGGGAGGCGGGCGGCGGGCGGGCGCCGGGGGAGGGCGCUGGGCAGGAAGGGGAGGGGGAGCGCGGGCGCGAGCGGCGCAGGGGCUGCGGCGGCAGGAGCGGCGGCGGCGGCAGUAGCGGCGGCGGCGGCGGCGGCGGCGGCAGCUCCCACUCGCUCCUCGCUGCGGGCUCGGCCGUCGAGCCGGGACUCAGCCUCCGCCCGCGGCCAGGCACCCGCCGGCCACGCCCGCACCCGCGCCGCUCGCGGCACCGCGCUCCCCGGGGGCACAGCACCCGAGCCGGUAAGAGGGCGCCCCGCCGCCGGGCCCCGCGCCCCUGCCCGCUGCCCCCCGCGCCUCUGCCCCGGCCUUUGUUCUCCGGACGGCGGCCUCUCCGGACGGCGGCCUCCCGGUCGGGCGUCGGGGCGCGGGGCGCGGGGCGCGGGGCGCGGGGCGCGGGGCGCGGGGCGCAGCCUGGCGCAGGGGUGGGGGGCGCGGGGCGCGGGGCCCGGGGCCGGGGGGCGCGCGGCGGGGACCUGCCGGAGCGCCGCGGGGCCGCGGGAGCGGAUGUCACCGGCCGGGGAGGGGGCGCGGGGCGCGCGGGGCGCGCGGGGCGCGGGGCGGAGAGCGGGGCGCGGCCCCCGGGCCAGGGGCGGGCUUGCUGGGGGCUCCCGUGGGCGCCCCGGGGAGGCCGCGGGGGGCGCGGCGGGUGCGGCCGACAGGCGGGGGGACUGCGGGCCCCGGGUGGGUGCGCCCCGCGGCCCUCGGGGAAGACUCGCCGAGCGCCCGCCUCCCCGGAGACGCCGCCGCCCCGGGCGGGCCUCGAACCCGCGCCGCCCGCGCGACCGCCCCGCGGAGGAGGGCGCGGCGCCCACGGGUGCAGCCUGGCGCCCAGCCUGGGGCGGACCCCGUCGGGCUCCCGCGGGGCCGGCGGCGGGGGGGGGGGGGGGCGGGGGCCUCGCGGGGUCGCCCCGGGGCUCGGGGGCCGGGCGCUGCGGGCCGAAUGA